GUGCUCACUUUGGCAGAACAUGUACUUAAAUUGGAACAUAUAGAGAAGAUUAGCAUAGCUCCUGUGUAAGGAUAACAUGCAAAUUCAGUAAGUGUUCCAUAUAUUU